rnacentral:rRNA from 1 species
UGAGGAAUAUUGGUCAAUGGGUGCAAGCCUGAACCAGCCAUCCCGCGUGAAGGACGACUGCCCUAUGGGUUGUAAACUUCUUUUGUAUAGGGAUAAACCUACCCUCGUGAGGGUAGCUGAAGGUACUAUACGAAUAAGCACCGGCUAACUCCGUGCCAGCAGCCGCGGUAAUACGGGAGGGUGCAAGCGUUAUCCGGAUUUAUUGGGUUUAAAGGGUCCGUAGGCGGACUUAUAAGUCAGUGGUGAAAGCCUGUCGCUUAACGAUAGAACUGCCAUUGAUACUGUAAGUCUUGAGUAUAUUUGAGGUAGCUGGAAUAAGUAGUGUAGCGGUGAAAUGCAUAGAUAUUACUUAGAACACCAAUUGCGAAGGCAGGUUACCAAGAUAUAACUGACGCUGAGGGACGAAAGCGUGGGGAGCGAACAGGAUUAGAUACCCUGGUAGUCCACGCCGUAAAACGAUGCUAACUCGUUUUUGGGGCUUCGGCUUCAGAGACCAAGCGAAAGUGAUAAGUUAGCCACCUGGGGAGUACGCUCGC